rnacentral:rRNA from 1 species
CAAUAGCGUAUAUUAAAGUUGUUGCGGUUAAAAAGCUCGUAGUUGGAUUUCUGCUGAGGACGACCGGUCCGCCCUCUGGGUGAGUAUCUGGCUUGGCCUUGGCAUCUUCUUGGAGAACGUAGCUGCACUUGACUGUGUGGUGCGGUAUCCAGGACUUUUACUUUGAGGAAAUUAGAGUGUUCACAGCAAGCAAACGCUUUGAAUAUGUUAGCAUGGAAUAAUAAUAUAGGACCUUGGAUCUAUUUUGUUGGUUUCUAGAACUAAGGUAAUGAUUAAUAGGGAUAGUUGGGGGCAUUCGUAUUUAACUGUCAGAGGCGAAAUUCUUGGAUUUGUUAAAGACGGACUACUGCGAAAGCAUUUGCCAAGGAUGUUUUCAUUGAUCAAGAACGAAAGUUAGGGGAUCGAAGACGAUCAGAUACC